GCUAACUACGUGCCAGCAGCCGCGGUAAUACGUAGGGGGCAAGCGUUGUCCGGAUUUACUGGGCGUAAAGGGCGCGUAGGCGGUCUAAUAAGUCAGAUGUGAAAGUCCAGGGCUCAACCCUGGAAUUGCAUUUGAAACUGUAAGACUUGAGUGCAGGAGAGGAGAGCGGAAUUCCUAGUGUAGCGGUGAAAUGCGUAGAUAUUAGGAAGAACACCAGUGGCGAAGGCGGCUCUCUGGACUGUAACUGACGCUGAGGCGCGAAAGCGUGGGUAGC
rnacentral:rRNA from 1 species